ensembl:rRNA 5S_rRNA 5S ribosomal RNA
GUCUGCGGCCACACCACCCUGAAUGUGCCGAUCUCAUCUGAUCUCAGAAGCUAAGCAGGGUCUGGCCUGGUUAGUACUUGGAUGGGAGAAUGAAUUAUUUAUCCUUUCCAAGAAGUCUCUGUUU